rnacentral:rRNA from 1 species
UACGUAGGGUGCGAGCGUUGUCCGGAAUUAUUGGGCGUAAAGAGCUCGUAGGCGGUUUGUCACGUCUGCUGUGAAAACUGGAGGCUCAACCUCCAGCCUGCAGUGGGUACGGGCAGACUAGAGUGCGGUAGGGGAGAUUGGAAUUCCUGGUGUAGCGGUGGAAUGCGCAGAUAUCAGGAGGAACACCGAUGGCGAAGGCAGGUCUCUGGGCAUUAACUGACGCUGAGGAGCGAAAGCAUGGGGAGCGAACAGG